AGAGUUCGAUCCUGGCUCAGGAUGAACGCUGGCGGCGCGCCUAACACAUGCAAGUCGAACGGCACCCCUCUCCGGAGGGAAGCGAGUGGCGAACGGCUGAGUAACACGUGGAGAACCUGCCCCCUCCCCCGGGAUAGCCGCCCGAAAGGACGGGUAAUACCGGAUACCCCGGGGUGCCGCAUGGCACCCCGGCUAAAGCCCCGACGGGAGGGGAUGGCUCCGCGGCCCAUCAGGUAGACGGCGGGGUGACGGCCCACCGUGCCGACAACGGGUAGCCGGGUUGAGAGACCGACCGGCCAGAUUGGGACUGAGACACGGCCCAGACUCCUACGGGAGGCAGCAGUGGGGAAUCUUGCGCAAUGGGGGGAACCCUGACGCAGCGACGCCGCGUGCGGGACGGAGGCCUUCGGGUCGUAAACCGCUUUCAGCAGGGAAGAGUCAAGACUGUACCUGCAGAAGAAGCCCCGGCUAACUACGUGCCAGCAGCCGCGGUAAUACGUAGGGGGCGAGCGUUAUCCGGAAUCAUUGGGCGUAAAGCGCGCGCAGGCGGGCUUUCAAGCGGCGGCGUCGAAGCCGGGGGCUCAACCCCCGGAAGCGCCCCGAACUGGAAGCCUCGGAUGCGGCAGGGGGAGGCGGAAUUCCCGGUGUAGCGGUGAAAUGCGCAGAUAUCGGGAAGAACACCGACGGCGAAGGCAGCCUCCUGGGCCGGCAUCGACGCUGAGGCGCGAAAGCUGGGGGAGCGAACAGGAUUAGAUACCCUGGUAGUCCCAGCCGUAAACGAUGGACGCUAGGUGUGGGGGGACGAUCCCCCCGUGCCGCAGCCAACGCAUUAAGCGUCCCGCCUGGGGAGUACGGCCGCAAGGCUAAAACUCAAAGGAAUUGACGGGGGCCCGCACAAGCAGCGGAGCAUGUGGCUUAAUUCGAAGCAACGCGAAGAACCUUACCAGGGCUUGACAUAUGGGUGAAGCGGGGGAGACCCCGUGGCCGAGAGGAGCCCAUACAGGUGGUGCAUGGCUGUCGUCAGCUCGUGAGAUGUUGGGUUAAGUCCCGCAACGAGCGCAACCCCUGUCGCGUGUUGCCAGCAUUGAGUUGGGGACUCGCGCGAGACUGCCGGCGUCAAGCCGGAGGAAGGUGGGGACGACGUCAAGUCAUCAUGCCCCUUAUGCCCUGGGCUGCACACGUGCUACAAUGGCCGGUACAGAGGGAUGCCACCCCGCGAGGGGGAGCGGAUCCCGGAAAGCCGGCCCCAGUUCGGAUUGGGGGCUGCAACCCGCCCCCAUGAAGUCGGAGUUGCUAGUAAUCGCGGAUCAGCAUGCCGCGGUGAAUGCGUUCCCGGGCCUUGUACACACCGCCCGUCACACCACCCGAGUCGUCUGCACCCGAAGUCGCCGGCCCAACCUUUCGAGGGGGGAGGCGCCGAAGGUGUGGAGGGUGAGGGGGGUGAAGUCGUAACAAGGUAGCCGUACCGGAAGGUGCGGCUG
rnacentral:rRNA from 1 species